UAUUAGACAGCAUUGAAUUCUCCUUCACCAAACUCUCCUUUUCUUGCUCAGCGCGGGAAAGUCUAUCGGAGGCGUCGGCGAGGGAGGAGUCAAGUGAGUCAAGCUGAGAGUUAAGGUCGUUGAUGAUGUCAUCUCUCUCCGAUAAGUGGCGGCGUAGGGCGUCGGCUUCCGAUUCCAAGGCGGAGAUGCGCGUGGAUAAGGCAAUGGAAGUGAUCUUACGCGCUAAAUCAAGCUGUUCAAAUGGAUCUGACGGCAGUACUUGCACAAUUUCCUCGGGAAGACGGAAUUCUGUAGCCAUUUUAUUUUACUUUCAAUUAA
rnacentral:misc_RNA from 1 species